UACCCACGCGAGUUUCAAAGCCGUUUUUCAUUCAACGCCAAACACGUCGCACACCGCACGUAUUAUACAGGCGUUAAUGUAAUAUAUUAUCGUCGAUCUGCAAUCUAUCCGAUCAUUAUUUUCAGUCAGAAAUAUCCGUUCGAACUGUGCACUUACUUUUUUUUUACAGACGCUAAAACGCGCAUGAUACGCAAGUAUUCAUCAUUUACAAUUUAAUAUUUAUAUUUAUAGCCACACUGUACCGUUUACUCGUUUGUCCGUCGGAAUUAGCGGUUUGGGAUUAUGUUGUUAGAAAAAAAAAUCAUUCAGUCAUCAAAACAACACCACUUUAUGACACAUCGUGAUGUACACAAAAAUUCGUUCUCUCCGACGGCUCGGAACACGGAUGACUUAUUAGCACGGAUAAUAUUACAAUUCGCAUAAAAUAUUUACUCCAAAUGGCCAUUUCUAACCGGUUUCUGCAAGCAUCGGAGCAUAAGUCUAGAGUCUACACUUCACCACACCCAGUUUGUACUCACCCUGUCCGUUACAAUCACAAAUGGCCAUCGCGUGCGCGUGCUUCCGCCCAUGAUGAUCUUCGCGGAUCUGGACCCGAGCACCGUAUCCAUUG